rnacentral:misc_RNA from 1 species
AAGUCGUAACAAGGUUUCCGUAGGUGAACCUGCGGAAGGAUCAUUACUGAGUUUAGGGUCUCUUUUAGAGCCCGAACCUCCAACCCUUUGUUAAAACACUUUGUUGCUUUGGCAGGCCCGUCUUAUCCUUUAACGGGGAGACGACCGCCGGGGGCGUUUAGUCACCUCUGGUCAGUGCUUGCCGAUAGCCUAUUAAAAAUUCCUUAUUAAAUAAUGUCUGAAAAAUUAUAAUUAAAUAUAAUUAAAA